rnacentral:rRNA from 1 species
GACGAACGCUGGCGGCGUGCUUAACACAUGCAAGUCGAACGGAAAGGCCCUGCUUUUGUGGGGUGCUCGAGUGGCGAACGGGUGAGUAACACGUGAGUAACCUGCCCUUGACUUUGGGAUAACUUCAGGAAACUGGGGCUAAUACCGGAUAGGAGCUCCUGCUGCAUGGUGGGGGUUGGAAAGUUUCGGCGGUUGGGGAUGGACUCGCGGCUUAUCAGCUUGUUGGUGGGGUAGUGGCUUACCAAGGCUUUGACGGGUAGCCGGCCUGAGAGGGUGAACGGCCACAUUAGGACUGAGAUACGGACCAGACGCGUACGGGAGGCAGCAGUGGGGAGUAUUGCACAAUGGGCGGGAGCCUGAUGCAGCAACGCCGCGUGCGGGAUGACGGCCUUCGGGUUGUAAACCGCUUUCGCCUGUGACGAAGCGUGAGUGACGGUAAUGGGUAAAGAAGCACCGGCUAACUACGUG